UACCAGCACCCCGAGUGGUCGGGACGUUUAUUGGGCCUAAAGCAUCCGUAGCCGGUUCUACAAGUCUUCCGUUAAAUCCACCUGCUUAACAGAUGGGCUGCGGAAGAUACUAUAGAGCUAGGAGGCGGGAGAGGCAAGCGGUACUCGAUGGGUAGGGGUAAAGUCCGUUGAUCCAUUGAAGACCACCAGUGGCGAAGGCGGCUUGCCAGAACGCGCUCGACGGUGAGGGAUGAAAGCUGAGGGAGCAAACCGG
rnacentral:rRNA from 1 species